rnacentral:rRNA from 1 species
UACGUAGGGUCCGAGCGUUGUCCGGAAUUAUUGGGCGUAAAGGGCUCGUAGGCGGUCCGUCACGUCGGGAGUGAAAAACUCAGGGCUCAACCCUGAGCGUGCUUCCGAUACGGGCGGACUAGAGGUAUGCAGGGGAGAACGGAAUUCCUGGUGUAGCGGUGGAAUGCGCAGAUAUCAGGAGGAACACCGGUGGCGAAGGCGGUUCUCUGGGCAUUACCUGACGCUGAGGAGCGAAAGCAUGGGGAGCGAACAGG